rnacentral:rRNA from 1 species
UACGUAGGGGGCAAGCGUUGUCCGGAUUUAUUGGGCGUAAAGAGCGCGCAGGCGGUCGUUCAAGUCGCGUGUGAAAGCCCCCGGCUCAACUGGGGAGGGUCACGCGAUACUGAUCGACUGGAAGGCAGGAGAGGGUAGUGGAAUUCCCGGUGUAGUGGUGAAAUGCGUAGAUAUUCGGAAGAACACCAGUGGCGAAGGCGACUCGCUGGACAAGUAUUGACGCUGAGGUGCGAAAGCGUGGGGAGCAAACAGG